rnacentral:lncRNA from 1 species
CUAGGCACAACUUCUUCAUCCUUCCUUCUUAAUCCUAGGCACAACUUCUUCAUCCAUGAAACUGAUUGAUGGAUUUUCCGUUCACAAGUACGAUUUUUUCUUACAAAUUCCUAUAUGUACAUUAUCUCACUCACUCAACCAUCUUUAUCAUUAGAUCUUAUAACUUCUAAUUAUUUGUGUUUGAAGAAGUGAGGAGUUAUUAUAGCGUUUCUAACAUCUCACAUUCACCCAUGUUCCUACCCACUCAUUUAUUCGAAGAUUUGUCUUUUCAAUGUUUAGUAACAAUGUAACAUUUUUACCUAACAACUUAAAUUUUUUUGAUCAUUUUUGUUGGAUGAAUCUUAUUUCAAUCUUUUUGAGUUCAAGAUAAUAUUUUUUAUAUGAUUUCUCAUUAUACCUUAUUUCAAAUUUCUUGGUGUUAUUUUUUGUAUUCAUGUUCACUAUGUCGCCGUGUCAAACUAAUAUUGGUAAAAAUGAAUUUUUUUCUACAAAUUUUAGUUCAAUAUCAUAUAUCUUAUAACUUCUUUUGCAUUUUUUGUGCCUUAGUUGUUAUAUUUUACACUAUAGUGUCUAUUCAACAUUGUUACUUUCUCUGACUAUCCCAUUUUUUUCUUAGUCUCUCUCUUUCUUUCAUCAUCUAUUGACUUUUCCAUUCUAUCUUUUCAUCUAGCUAGGUUUCUCACAACCUUUUAUGGUUUGGAAGCAAAAGAAGAGUGAAAAUGUGUUACAAUGGUCAUGGAAGCUUCAAAGAUAAAAUAGAUAAGUCAACUACCAAUGAACCAACUUUAAGGCUUAUAGUACUAUAUAGAUUCAAACCCAUCUUGGCUUAUGUUAAACAUUAAUCCUUCC